rnacentral:piRNA from 1 species
GUGACUUUGUGCGUGCGUUCGUU